rnacentral:rRNA from 1 species
AAUAUUCUAUGAUCGAUUCCUUGGAUGACAGAAGUCGUGAUUUAUAACAUCUUUUUAAACUUUAGGUCGGACGUAUUGCAGGACACAUUGAGCACUGAUUUUUCGAACGCGCAUUGCGGUCUCGGGUGAUACCCGGGACCUCGCCUGUCUGAGGGUCG